UACGUAGGGGGCAAGCGUUGUCCGGAAUCAUUGGGCGUAAAGAGCGUGUAGGCGGCCCGAUAAGUCCGCUGUGAAAGUCCAGGGCUCAACCCUGGGAUGCCGGUGGAUACUGUCGGGCUCGAGUCCGGAAGAGGAGUGUGGAAUUCCUGGUGUAGCGGUGAAAUGCGCAGAUAUCAGGAGGAGCACCAAUGGCGAAGGCAGCACUCUGGGACGUGACUGACGCUGAGACGCGAAAGCGUGGGGAGCAAACAGG
rnacentral:rRNA from 1 species